CACGUAGGGCGCAAGCGUUGUCCGGAAUUAUUGGGCGUAAAGAGCUCGUAGGCGGACUGUCACGUCUGCUGUGAAAAGCUAGGGCUUAACCCUGGCCUUGCAGUGGAUACGGGCAGACUAGAGGUAGGUAGGGGAGAAUGGAAUUCCCGGUGUAGCGGUGAAAUGCGCAGAUAUCGGGAGGAACACCGGUGGCGAAGGCAGGUCUCUGGGCCAUAACUGACGCUGAGAAGCGAAAGCAUGGGGAGCGAACAGG
rnacentral:rRNA from 1 species